ACGAACGCUGGCGGCGUGCUUAACACAUGCAAGUCGAACGGAAAGGCCCUGCUUUUGUGGGGUGCUCGAGUGGCGAACGGGUGAGUAACACGUGAGUAACCUGCCCUUGACUUUGGGAUAACUUCAGGAAACUGGGGCUAAUACCGGAUAGGAGCUCCUGCUGCAUGGUGGGGGUUGGAAAGUUUCGGCGGUUGGGGAUGGACUCGCGGCUUAUCAGCUUGUUAGUGGGGUAGUGGCUUACCAAGGCUUUGACGGGUAGCCGGCCUGAGAGGGUGACCGGCCACAUUGGGACUGAGAUACGGCCCAGACUCCUACGGGAGGCAGCAGUGGGGAAUAUUGCACAAUGGGCGGAAGCCUGAUGCAGCAACGCCGCGUGCGGGAUGACGGCCUUCGGGUUGUAAACCGCUUUCGCCUGUGACGAAGCGUGAGUGACGGUAAUGUGUAAAGAAGCACCGGCUAACUACGUG
rnacentral:rRNA from 1 species